UACGUAGGGUGCAGGCGUUAAUCGGAAUUACUGGGCGUAAAGCGUGCUCAGGCGGUUUUGUAAGUCUGUCGUGAAAGCCCCGGGCUUAACCUGGGAAUUGCGAUGGAGACUGCAAGGCUUGAAUCUGGCAGAGGGGGGUAGAAUUCCACGUGUAGCAGUGAAAUGCGUAGAGAUGUGGAGGAACACCGAUGGCGAAGGCAGCCCCCUGGGUCAAGAUUGACGCUCAUGCACGAAAGCGUGGGGAGCAAACAGG
rnacentral:rRNA from 1 species